ACACUAUUGGUGUAGUGGCAACAUAUUCGCCUUCCAAGCGAAUGCCCUGGGUUCGAUUCCCAGAUAGUGUA
rnacentral:tRNA from 1 species